UACGUAGGGUGCGAGCGUUGUCCGGAAUUAUUGGGCGUAAAGGGCUCGUAGGCGGUCUGUCGCGUCUGCUGUGAAAACUCAGGGCUUAACCCUGAGCUUGCAGUGGGUACGGGCAGACUAGAGUGCGGGUAGGGGAGACUGGAAUUCCUGGUGUAGCGGUGAAAUGCGCAGAUAUCAGGAGGAACACCGGUGGCGAAGGCGCACAUCUGGCCCAAUACUGACGCUGAGGCGACGAAAGCUAGGGGAGCAAACGGG
rnacentral:rRNA from 1 species